AUAAUACUCCCUCCGUCCGGAAUUACUUGUCAUCAAAAUGGAUGUGUCUAGAACUAAAAUACAUCUAUAUACAUCCAUUUCAAUGACAAGUAUUUUCGGACGGAGGGAGUAGUAG
rnacentral:pre_miRNA from 1 species